GCCGCCCCGUCCGGGAGGGAGGAUUUAAAAUGUGUUGUAUUGAAACGUUGACCCAUCAUGGCUGAGACUUGGAUCAGUAUCUCACUUCAGGAAACAGGACUCAAGCUGGGCGCAGGGGCUCACGCCUGUAAUCCCAGCACUUUGGGAGGCCGAAGUGGGUGAAUCACACGGUCAAGAGAUUGAGACCAUCCUGACCAACAUGGUGAAACCCCGUCUCAACUAAAAAAGCAAAAAUUAGCUGGGUGUGGUGGCUGGUGCCUAUAGUCCCAGCUACUCUGGAGGCUGAGGCAGGAGAAUCGCUUGAACCCAGGAGGCGGAGGUUGCAGUGAGCUGAGAUCAUGCCACUGCACUCCAGCCUGGCGAGAGUGAGACUCCAUCUCAAAAAAAGAAACAGGACGCAGACAUACAUUCUAGGUAAUUCUUGGCUGUCCCUUACGCGGUUGGGUGCAUAUACUUUGAUUAAAGUCCUCUAUCAUUCCUUUUUCUCUUGCAGCCUAAAAUAAAGACACCUCUCUGUUAUGGACUGAAUUGUGUCCCCCCCAAAUUCAUAUGCUGGAGCCCUAAUUCCCAAGGUGAUGGUAUUUGGAGAUGAAGUUUUUGGGAAGUGAGUAGGGUUAGAUGAAGUCAUGAGAGUGGGGCCCUCAGGAUAGGAUUAGCAUCCUUUUAAGAAGGGACACCAGAGUGCUCCCUCUCUCUUUCACCAGGAGCCCAAUCAGCUAGCAUCUUGACCUUAGACUUCCACACUCUAGGACUGUGAGAAGUAAACACCACUGUGUCAGCCACUGGGCCCACAGCACUCUGUGAGGGCAGUGCCAGCUGGCUGAUGCCCUCUUACACCAAUGGGGAUCUCACCCCUGUGCCUACAUGGGCCGUCCUGGUCUCCCAGGAGCCAGGGCAUUCCACCUGAAGUGGUCCCAACAGGAAACACACACCCCACCACCUCGGCCCACUAGGCCUGCAUCGCUUCCACUCAGGGCUCCUCCCACAGGGAGGUGUGCAGCAAGGAUUUUGUUCUGGGGGAGAGAGAUCAGGAAGAAGAGAAAAUUAAAUAAGAAAUUGCUAAAUGUUCUGUUGCAAGUGGAAGGAAGGGGAAAGGCCAUGAACUGACACAUAAUAUUUUUCCUAUUACAAUUGCAGAAGUAAUAUAUAUUCAUUAUAAAAAUUCAAGCAACAGAAGUGUAUACAAUAAAAAGUAAAAUUUCCUCUUUGUCAUUUCAUCAUUUCACAUUCUACUCCUUACUCACUAGAGGUCUCCACCAUUAGUUAAUUGACAUUAAUAUUUCCAAGAGGUUUUCAGAUUGUACACACACACACACACACACACACACACACAGACAUAUACACAAAUAGAAGCUUUUUUUCAAAACAAAACUAUUAUUCAGUAACUUGUUUUGCUUCAUUUAAAACUCUCUCUCUCUCUCAGAUAUACCUCCAUGCUAUUGCAGAUGGAUUUAUUAUUAUUAUUAUUAUUUUUGAGAUGGAGUCUCGCUCUGUCGCCCAGGAUGGAGUACAAUGGCAUGAUCUCGGUUCACUGCAACCUCCGUCUCCCAGGUUCAAGC
rnacentral:lncRNA from 10 species